rnacentral:tRNA from 1 species
UUGUUUGAUGGCUGAGUUAGAAGCGAUAGACUGUAGAUCUAUUAACGGAGUUAAUUUCCUCAACAAA